rnacentral:rRNA from 1 species
GAUGAACGCUGGCGGCGUGCCUAAUACAUGCAAGUCGAGCGAAUGGAUUGAGAGCUUGCUCUUAUGAAGUUAGCGGCGGACGGGUGAGUAACACGUGGGUAACCUGCCCAUAAGACUGGGAUAACUCCGGGAAACCGGGGCUAAUACCGGAUAACAUUUUGAACCGCAUGGUUCGAAAUUGAAAGGCGGCUUCGGCUGUCAAUUAUGGAUGGACCCGCGUCGCAUUAGCUAGUUGGUGAGGUAACGGCUCACCAAGGCAACGAUUCGUAGCCGACCUGAGAGGGUGAUCGGCCACACUGGGACUGAGACACGGCCCAGACUCCUACGGGAGGCAGCAGUAGGGAAUCUUCCGCAAUGGACGAAAGUCUGACGGAGCAACGCCGCGUGAGUGAUGAAGGCUUUCGGGUCGUAAAACUCUGUUGUUAGGGAAGAACAAGUGCUAGUUGAAUAAGCUGGCACCUUGACGGUACCUAACCAGAAAGCCACGGCUAACUACGUGCCAGCCGCCGCGGUAA